GAUGCGUAACUGGUCUGAGAGGAUGAUCAGUCACACUGGAACUGAGACACGGUCCAGACUCCUACGGGAGGCAGCAGUGGGGAAUAUUGGACAAUCGGCGAAAGCCUGAUCCAGCCAUGCCGCGUGUGUGAAGAAGGUCUUCGGAUUGUAAAGCACUUUAAGUUGGGAGGAAGUGCAGUAAGUUAAUACCUUGCUGUUUUGACGUUACCAACAGAAUAAGCACCGGCUAACUUCGUGCCAGCAGCCUCGGUAAUACGAAGGGUGCAAGCGUUAAUCGGAA
rnacentral:rRNA from 1 species